rnacentral:rRNA from 1 species
CACCAAGGCGAUUACAGGUACGGGCUCUGAGAGGAGAAGCCCGGAGAUGGGUACUGAGACACGGACCCAGGCCCUAUGGGGCGCAGCAGGCGAGAAACCUUAGCAAUGUGCGAAAGCACGACUGGGUCAGUCCGAGUGAUUCCUGAUAAAGGAGUCUUUUGCCUGUCCUAAAAGCACAGGUGAAUAAGGGGUGGGCAAGUCUGGUGUCAGCCGCCGCGGUAAUACCAGCACCUCGAGUGGUCAGGACGUUUAUUGGGCCUAAAGCAUCCGUAGCCGGCUCUGCAAGUCUUCGGUUAAAUCCACCUGCUCAACAGAUGGGCCGCUGGAGAUACUACGGAGCUAGAGAGGGAGAGAGGCAGACGGUAUUCAGUGGGUAGGGGUAAAAUCCUCUGAUCCAUUGAGGACCACCAGUGGCGAAGGCGGUCUGCCAGAGCACGUUCGACGGUGAGGGAUGAAAGCUGGGGGAGCAAACCGGAUUAGAUACCCGGGUAGUCCCAGCUGUAAACGAUGCAAACUCGGUGAUGCAUUGGCUUAUGGCCAAUGCAGUGCCGCAGGGAAGCCGUUAAGUUUGCCGCCUGGGAAGUACGGACGCAAGUCUGAAACUUAA